UGGAAAGAUUUAAAACAUACGUGAAACCGUUCGGGGGUAAACGGACAGAGCCCGUGAAUCUGGGCGGCGGAAUUCAGGAUGGCUGGCUCGUCCAGCCGUUUGAUAUUUCCGUCGCCGUGUCAGACGUCGCGACCUGUUCGUUGCCGGUCCUUGUUCGGAGGAAUCGCGAUCGAGUUCGUUGCGGGUGCGUUUCGGCGUGUCCCGCGGUGAAGACGCGACUCUCUGGCUGGCGACGGACAGUAAGCAAUGGUGGCCGGCGCGGUGUCUCGCACUCCGCGUCGGUGCCGGUCAGCGACGAUUUCUUCGGGCCUCUUUCCGACCCGUCUUGAAACACGGACCAAGGAGUCUAACAUGCGCGCGAGUCGCGGGGUUUCGAGCGUGCCACGGUGCGCUCGUUACUUCCGAAACCCGUACGUUGAAGGCGUAAUGAAAGUGAACAGGGAAGAUGGCGUUCCGAGUCCACGUACCGUGAUCGAGUAUCGCGGCCGGACGUCCGCACUCCCGGGGCGUCUCAAUGGUUCGACGCGGAUGCGGACGAUCGUCUUUCGGGGCGGUCGUCGGUCUGCGUCGGUCCGAGGCGCACCUAUAGCGUGCACGUUGGUACCCGAAAGAUGGUGAACUAUGCCUGGCCAGGAUGAAGUCAGGGGAAACCCUGAUGGAGGUCCGCAGCGAUUCUGACGUGCAAAUCGAUCGUCUGAGCUGGGUAUAGGGGCGAAAGACUAAUCGAACCAUCUAUUGUUUUUCCUCCCCCCCAAAAAAAA
rnacentral:rRNA from 1 species